rnacentral:rRNA from 1 species
GACGAACGCUGGCGGCGUGCUUAACACAUGCAAGUCGAACGAAAAGGCCCUGCGCUUGCGGGGUGCUCGAGUGGCGCACGGGUGAGUAACACGUGAGUAACCUGCCCUUGACUUUGGGAUAACUUCAGGAAACUGGGGCUAAUACCGGAUAGGAGCUCCUGCUGCAUGGUGGGGGUUGGAAAGUUUCGGCGGUUGGGGAUGGACUCGCGGCUUAUCAGCUUGUUGGUGGGGUAGUGGCUUACCAAGGCUUUGACGGGUAGCCGGCCUGAGAGGGUUACCGGCCACAAUGGGACUGAGAGACGGCCCAGACUCCUACGGGAGGCAGCAGUCGGGAAUAUUGCACAAUGGGCGGAAGCCUGAUGUAGCAACGCCGCGUGCGGGAUGACCGCCUUCGGGUGGUAAACCGCUUUCUCCUGUGACGAAGCGUGAGUGACGGUAAUGGGUAAAGAAGCACCGGCUAACUACGUG